rnacentral:rRNA from 1 species
GACGAACGCUGGCGGCGUGCUUAACACAUGCAAGUCGAACGGAAAGGCCCUGCUUUUGUGGGGUGCUCGAGUGGCGAACGGGUGAGUAACACGUGAGUCACCUGCCCUUGACUUUGGGAUAACUUCAGGCAACUGGGGCUAAUACCGGCUAGGAGCUCCUGCUGCAUGGUGGGGGUUGGAAAGUUUCGGCGGAUGGGGAUGGACUCGCGGCUUAUCAGCUUGUUGGUGGGGUAGUGGCUUACCAAGGCUUUGACGGGUAGCCGGCCUGAGAGGGUGACCGGCGACAUUGGGACUGAGAGACGGCCCAGACUCCUACGGUGGGCAGCAGUGGGGAAUAUUGCACAAUGGGCGGAAGCCUGAUGCGGCAACGCCGCGUGCGGGAUGACGGCCUUCGUGUUGUAAACCGCUUUCGCCUGUGACGAAGCGUGAGUGACGGUAAUGGGUAAAGAAGCACCGGCUAACUACGUG